CUGGAGCUGUGAUGUGGAGGAGGAAGCGCUCAGGUGGAAAAGGAGGGAGCUAUGCUCAGGCUGCCAGCAGCGAUAGUGCCCAGGGCUCUGAUGUAUCUCUCACAGCUUGUAAAGCGUGAGGCAGUUGGUGGGGACUGAGUGAUGGGAGAUUUGUUCAAGCUCCUACUUUGUGAUUCAAGAACCUCUGAUUUCUUUCUGCAAACGGCAUCUGAAUGUGUGUGCUCCUAUCAGCAUAACAUGAGGAGGUGGGAGGCUGGCCCACCCCUGCCCACCACACCCCCUCCCCAGCCUUUCCUGUCCAGUAGAGGUGGGGCUGGGCCCUCCCCAUUCGUUUUUACUUCUUGGUGCUCUAAGCUGCAGCCUCUUACUGCCUGAUUGAAAUAAGAGUCUGGAUUUGCAUUCUUCUUCACUUCUUGCCAUGAAGGGGUAAUGGGUUCCUUAAAGGAGAACAGCCCGGCUGGUGUGCUUCAGUGGCUGAGU